UACGUAGGGUGCAAGCGUUGUCCGGAAUUAUUGGGCGUAAAGAGCUCGUAGGCGGUUUGUUGCGUCGGCUGUGAAAUCCCGAGACUCAACCUCGGGUCUGCAGUCGAUACGAGCAAACUAGAGUGUUGCAGGGGAGACUGGAAUUCCUGGUGUAGCGGUGAAAUGCGCAGAUAUCAGGAGGAACACCGGUGGCGAAGGCGGGUCUCUGGGCAACAACUGACGCUGGAGGAGCGAAAGCGUGGGGAGCGAACAGG
rnacentral:rRNA from 1 species